rnacentral:lncRNA from 1 species
CUGCCACAUAACCAAGACAAAUUAAUAGUAUGUGGACACCUACUUGGCAAUAGUCCUGUUUAUCUUGUAGGUACAGGGCAUGACAAGCCCCAGCUGAUUCCCAUACAGGAGGCUUACAGUCUGUGCCUUCAGAUCUACAGUGCUCUCCCCUCUAUAGUCUGUGCCUUCAGAUCUACAGUGCUCUCCCCUGUGUCUUACAGUCUGUGUCUUCAGAUCUACAGUGCCCUCCCCUGUGUCUUACAGUCUGUGUCUUCAGAUCUACAGUGCUCUCCCCUGUGUCUUACAGUCUGUGCCUUCAGAUCUACAGUGCUCUCCCCUGUGUAUUACAGUCUGUGCCUUCAGAUCUACAGUGCUCUCCCCUCUAUAGUCUGUGCCUUUCACCUUUCACCUUUCUAGGCCCAAGCUAGGCCCCACACUAUCUACAGACACUAGGCACGAAACUAGGUACAACACAAGGCCCCAAAACUGUACUGUUUCACCUCACACACACACACACACACACACACGUACUGCCUUUCACUUCACACAGGUAAGUAGGGAAAGCAGUACACCUGUUUCUCCCAAAGUUCUUUCCUCGUGCUGUCGAAUGCCUCUCUCGAUGAAGUCUCUCCCCAUGCUUGCCUGAGCCACCCUUAACAUAGGGCUAAA